GGUAAUGUGGCUUAGUGGUACAGUGCUUGCCUAACAUGCAUGAAGCCCUGGGUUUGAUUCCUCAGUAUCA
rnacentral:tRNA from 1 species